GGACUACAAGGGUUUCUAAUCCCGUUUGCUCCCCUGGCUUUCGCGCCUCAGCGUCAGUAGAGGGCCAGCGGAUCGCUUUCGCCACCGGCGUUCCUUCCGAUAUCAACGCAUUUCACCGCUCCACCGGAAGUUCCAUCCGCCCCUACCUCCCUCGAGCUCACCAGUAUCCGAGGCACUUCCCCAGUUGAGCUGGGGGCUUUCACCCCGGACUUGAUGAGCCGCCUACGCGCCCUUUAAGCCCAGUGAUUCCGAACAACGUUCGCACGGUUCGUCUUACCGCGGCUGCUGGCAC
rnacentral:rRNA from 1 species